ACUGAUCUCCAAAAAUUCUUUUCAUUAUUGCCAUUAAUGAUCAGCCUCUACUUCCAAUAUAAGGUGGCAAAAGAAAUCUUUUGAUCAUCAGCACAAUUUUGUACAUCAAAUAUCUUCUCCAUUUGCAUCAUCCAUUUUUCUACCACCAAUGAAAUUAGGUUCACCAUGCUUUCAUUGCGCUACUCUGAUGUAGUAUCCUCGAUCAACCCUUUCAUCGCACUUAAUUAAUCAAAAGCAGAUGAAGUAGGAGGACUAAAUGUCCUCGUCAUCCUAGAUUCCUAAAAUACAUCAAAGAAAAUUUUCACCGAUCAUUAUAGUUCACUAGACCUCAAUAUAUUUUGCACGUCAACAUAUCAAAUAUUUCA
rnacentral:lncRNA from 1 species